rnacentral:rRNA from 1 species
CAUGAAGCUGGAAUCGCUAGUAAUCGCGGAUCAGAAUGCCGCGGUGAAUACGUUCCCGGGUCUUGUACACACCGCCCGUCACACCAUGGGAGUCGGAAAUGCCCGAAGUCUGUGACCCAACCAUUAAGGAGGGAGCAGCCGAAGGCAGGUCGGAUGACUGGGGUGAAGUCGUAACAAGGUAUC